UCAUUUGUAGGAGGUGCUAGUUGCCUCUCAAGAGCAGCCAUAUCAUCACCAAGAAUUCCAUUUCUCUUCUGAGGGUCCAUUGCUUCCUCUGAAUUAGGCUUUAGAUCCUUUUGCAUCAUAUACUCAGGAAGAAGAAUGUGCGACUGACUAUACUUUGCAGUAACACUCCUUUUGAUACGUAGCAUCUCCCUAAAAGUAUCUUCAUUACCAUGUUGAACCUCAAAUUCAUGCCACUUGCACCAAAAGUCUGCAUC
rnacentral:lncRNA from 1 species